rnacentral:lncRNA from 1 species
CUGUGUCAAAAUACUGCACAUAUGAAAUAUAUGCUCAGUGCACAUCAAGUCAUCACACCAACACAAUACUAAGAACAAACAGAUAGUACUAAAACAUUACAGAUGAUAAAAUUUGGAAUCACUGUUACAUCAAAUUUGUGCAUAUAUUACUAAAACAUUACAGAUGAUAAAAUUUUGCAUCACACGCUCCAUCAAAAUUAAGCUGGCCAGUAACCCCAGCUUGAUAUUGGACGGACAUUCAUCAAAGGGAUCCUGAAUGUGAGAUACUACAUCUACAAAUAGAAAACAACAAAAUUUGUAAGAACCUGGUUCACAAUACAUAGAAAACUUCCAUAGAGGAACAUCUAGUAAUUCCUUGUAAAUCCUAAUAACAUACUGAAUCAUGGUCCAAACUAAGUUUAAAAAAUAGAGUACAACAAAGUUUCAUUACAAUAAAUUCAUUACAUUUAAAAUAGGGACUUCACACAUCCUAACUGCUCCAUCUCCCAAAUUCUAAUUACAAAUUUUUCCGGAUCUUCUUUUAUAGAGAAGGUUCCAAAGAUAUUCCAAAGUAGAAAAAUCAUGGGUUAUGAGCAAAUACCCCCUAUCAAGUAAGAUGAAUAGAAUCUUGUCAUCUAUAACGCUCGAGAAAUUCGGAUUUUUCAAUGAAUUAAAUUUUUAUUUGAUUAUGUGGAUUAAAUGCAUUUAAUUGAGUUAUUAUGUAAAUAAGAUACUCGAAGGCCGUUCUAUGACCUAGAAUGUGUGGAUGUGGUUAGUAUUCUGGCUUUGUGCUAGAAUUAAUUGUUGUGAAAUAUCAAGACGAGAACGAAGGUUUUUCGAGAAUGUUUGCGUAAAAACACUAUUCACCCGAUUUCGUUCGGAGCUAGGAUUUGAGAUUCUGAGAAACGCGUAAUGUUAGAAUAUUAUGAUAGUAUGGAAUAUCCAAUAAUAAUUCCGUCAUGGCAAACGAAGUUUUCGCAUGCGGACUUAAAACCUAAGGGUUGAGUAUAUUGAUUUCCGAGAAGGAAAUGAAACGCAUGGAAGAAAUUGCGUUAGGGUUAAGGCAUGUGUUAUGCAAUUAAGAUAUUAUUUAGUAUCUAGGUAUAAUAUGAUAAGUCAAUACAGAGUACAAUACGAUAAUCAUACUAGUAUUAUAUGGAAAGAAUACGUGAAGUAUACGUAGGGAAUACGAGUUGUAUUCUAGAAUUAAGUUAAGACUUAAUGUUAAUUCAUUUGGUUGGAUUAUGUUUAGCCCAAUCAAUUGAAUGAGCAAGCCUAAGGGAUUAAGUGGUAAGCCCAAGUUAAGGCCCAAUAUUAGAUUGAUUAAGCCCAAUGCAAGAAAACUGAACCGUGGAUCGAACCAGUGGGUCACCGAAUGGGUAAAACCCAUGGGGCAACCCAUGGGCAAGGUGGGCCGACCACUUGGUGUGCAAGGCAAGCACAUCACUUGGUCACCAAGUAUUUUACUUGGUGACAAAGUGGUAAAUAAGUAAGGAGGUGGGGAGAUGGACAAUUUUGCCCCUCAUUUGGUUUUCUAUAUAUACAAAGCUAGGUUGGUCAUUUGAAGUUUUUACAAAGCUUGUCCAACAUAUUUGAGAGAGAGAAAAGAGCUAGAAACUUAUAAUCCUUCUACUUCCAAGCAAACCAUUAGACGUUUAUCAAGAACGUUAACUACUUCAAAGGUAAAUUUUCAUAAACCGUAAUCUUCAUCUUUUUCGAUUUCUUUCUCAUAGAAGAAUCGUAGAUGGGUGGAGCAUGUUUAUUGAGGAGAGAUAAGGAUUCCUAGUAAUGGCCAAAUCAUUGAUAGGUCAUGACCAAAUAGAAAUUGUAAGUGGUUACGUGAGUUAAAACCAUAAAAAGUCUUGAACAUGAACUUAGUUUUGAAUGAACGUUUAAGAAUCGAUAUAGCUAAGGAAUGUGCCUAUUGCUUGGUUAGGAUGUAGAUAUGAAGUCCAUGGAGUAUUCCAUGUGAUUUGGCUUAGAGAACAUUAGUAACGAAGUUAUGGCGGAUUUUGCGGAAAUAUACGUUAAACGUCAAAAACGUAUAAAGUCCGGAUUAAAGGUCAAAAGUUGUCGUGUGACUUGAAAACGUUGAUUUUCAAUGUCAACACGUGAGAUAAGGUAAUUAAGAGUCGUUAGCGAAAGAAUCGUCGCAUUCCGACUUAUAACGAAGAAAACGAGUAUUGAACGAACGAAAACGUUAAACGAACGCUUAAAAAUGAACUUAAAGGUGAAUUCCGAGUUAACGAAUUCGAAAAAGUAAAAUUCUUAUACGAACACGUAAAGGAUGUAAUUUGCGACUUGUAGGAAUUCGAAUGGGUCAAUUCAUAUGUAAAACAAACAAAUUAGGAAGCCGAGAGUUUCGUUAAGAAACCAAACUGUUUUGGCUAACUGGUGCACAGGUUCGGCGCCGCAGCGCCAAACCCAGUGUUUUCUGCCACGCCGCAGCGCCAGUUAUGGCCGGGAGAAAAUAAAAAGGUCUGGAGACUCGCGUCGCAGCGCGAGAGUUUGUACAUAGACUUGCGCCGCAGCACCAAGUCCGGGCAAAACCUCUGGAGAGUGGCGCCGCAGCGCCACUAGAAUACAUAGGAUGUCGCGCCGCAGCGCCGACAGUAGAAAAAUGUUGACCAAGUUAGGUUUUAUUCCAAUUUGGAUGUAGACCUAAAGUAAGAUAUGGGAAGUACUUAAUGUACAUGAUAAGACUUACCUUAGAUCACUUAUAAGUUGUUAAGGUAAGAAGAUCUAGUAAGGUUUAAUAGAAAUUAAACGAAGAACGUGAGAACGAAAUACGUGCACCAGGAAUAAUGUUAAACUUUGGUAGUUUACCAAUAAUGAUCGAAUGUCGGUUUAAUAAUGACGUAAGAACAUUAAUGAAACGUAAUGAAGUGUAGAAAGUUAAAUCGACUUUAUUAAUGGAGUUAAUUCAAAUAAAACGUAGAAGAGAAAGAAGUUGGUUAGAACCGUAAAGUUAGUUUGUUUGAUAACUAAUUACCGUGUGCUAUGUGAAUGUAUCAUGUAGAUCUUGUAAAGACUGAGAAUAGUUGAAUUGUAUAUUCGAAGACGCUUGAAGGCAAAUCUUUCUUAACACUUGCCUAACCUUCGUGUUAGCUAAGUUUUUACGUGAUGCAUGUUAUACAAUGCAUGAAUGGUAAAUAGAAAAGAGUCGAUGCCUGUUUUAUUCGGGCUAGACAAGUAUUGGAGAGUUGAUUGAUUUGUUUACAAGUCUGUCGAUAUAGAACUGUUAACGCUAUCCUAUGCCAAGUAUUUGGUACGGAUGAGAAGGUAAGUUUGUCUAUGUACAAACAAAAGUAUUUUCAUCGAUUAUUCGAUGGGCACGCGAGGUUGCCAAAUGUUGAACGUAAAUACGUUUAACGUAACAGUGUUGAUCAACAUAGAGUACAAUAGGCUGAUCACCUAGAAGUGCUCGUAAGUAAAGACGGGUGGAUGGCCUUAGUGCCAGAUAUCCUUUUCAAGUAUGAAAACGAAAAGAGUAUGUUCCUGGUCUAUUGACCGGUUCAUCAUUCCUAAGCUAUUAUUUAUGCUCUGGAAUUGCUGUAUGAGAAGUAUUAGUCAAAUGUUUCAUAACGCUUCGUAGAUAAUUGUUCAGAUAUGGGAAUAAAGUAUGUAUUUGUUGAUGUAAUAUUCAUAUGAUUCAGUGUUAAGACUUGCUAAGCUAGUUAUGCUCAUUCUUGCUUGAACCAUAUGUUUGCAGCUAAAGCCGAACGAACUGAGAGUUCAAAGAGAGAUAAAGGCAAGGCUAAGAUGGACAAUUAAUCGUCCUGUAAUAGACUAGUAUAUUUAUAUGUAAGAUACUUAUGAAGAACAACGAAUGUAUUCAGUUAUGAACCUGGGAAAGAAUUUAUUACAAAUGUAAUACAAAGAUAGUAAUUACACUCAUUUUGUUGUUAUCUCAAUGGAAUGAUUGUAUGGAUUGUAGUAUCGUGGAGCACCAUCUGUCGGGUUGGAAGAUACCCGAAUUUGGGGGCGUCACAUCAUGCCUCUUUGCUUCUGUUAGCUUUUUCUCCCAACCAUCUUUCGUAGUGACCAAUUGAACAUUUCCACCAGCGAACUCAACAUGAUGAUCAGACUCCUCUCCAUCAUUUCCAUUCUACAAGUAAUAAGGGGAGAUCAUUAUUCACUGUCCAUUCUACACACCACUUAUCAUUUGCCAAUAUGGACCUUACACCACUUAUCAUUUGUCAUUUUAUCACACCACUUACCAUUUGUCUUCCCACUGGUUUGGAAAGGGAGAGACUCAUAUAGUUUGGACAGGAAGAGUUAAAAGAAGAAACUACAUAAUUGAACCAAAAACAUUGUGUCCUACAACAGUGUGGCACAAGGAAAAAUGAAGAAAAGAAAAUAAAAGGAAAAUAAUAGUACCCAAUAACAACUAGAUAUACCAUGUAUAAACUAUAAAGCAAAUACUAAAGUACACCUUUUGUUGUGAUCGGGUAUAAUUAGUUUGCUAAAAUUUUCUUUCUUGUAUUUUGCUAAUGUGGAGUGCAUCUUUGAUUUACCUUGGAGAAACACAUUCCCAUUUUGACCUUAUGAACAGAGGUGAGGAAUUGUACCAGCUGUACUGAAAUUGAAUUGAGCUAUUAAAUGAUAAUAUUAGUGCCAUUUCUUGUAAGUAAUACAGACUACAGAAUCCAGAUCAAUCCCCAAGCCAAGAGCUGGUGAAAAUGUCAAAGCAUAAACACAUACUAGAUAGAGAAUCCCAUCAAAACUAAAGAAUAAGUUGGAGAGUUGAGUGAAUGUCAUAGACUGAAUAUGAUAUAUUACUAAUUCUAAAUAAUAAAUAUAGUCUGAAUUGUUUACAUGAGCGGGAGUUUACAUGACAACAACUAAAAGAAACAAAUCAUGGGUAUUCUUGAAGAAAUUGAAAUGAAUCGGAUGUUACAAGUGAAACAAAUUGGAAUUAAUGCUAAAUACCCACUAAAACUCCUACACAGAAAUAAUUAAACCACAUAAAUUAAUUGGGUAGUUAUAACAGUGUGACAACAAAGUUACGAACUAAUUAACCAUUAAUUAGCGUUUCUUGUUCAGAUGCAAAAACAAAUUACAUUUACAACUCGCAAGAAAUGAAGAGUGUAAAACCGCACCAGGGAUUGGUAGAUAUGAAGCUUUCUGAGGUGAGCUCGCUCGUUCCAAGGAUUCGAUCAAUUAUUCGGGCGGAAAAAGGUUGAAACUUGGAAUCGGAAGAAUCCCAAUUAAGCUAGAUCUAGAUAUAGAUAGAUGGGAAUUCCAAUUUUCAGUACCUAAUUUUUUGUAGGGAGUUGUAGAUGAUGAAUGCGUCGUAAUAUAUAGACCGAGUACUAUUGUGGGUUAUGUGGGUUGUUUUGUUUCUUUCUAGGGCUUCAUUGUAGUUCGAUUUGAAGAUGGAAGUAUGAAGCUCAACUUUGAGGAGAGAGAAGGUUAAAAAUGAAAAAUACGGAAGCCUUAUGUAGG